GUAGGGGGCGAGCGUUGUCCGGAUUCAUUGGGCGUAAAGAGCGUGUAGGCGGCCAGGUAGGUCGGAUGUGAAAACUCGAGGCUCAACCUCGAGAUGUCAUCCGAAACCAUCUGGCUAGAGUCCGGAAGAGGAGAGUGGAAUUCCUGGUGUAGCGGUGAAAUGCGCAGAUAUCAGGAAGAACACCGAUGGCGAAGGCAGCUCUCUGGUACGGUACUGACGCUGAGACGCGAAAGCGUGGGGAGCGAACAGGAUUAGAUACCCUGGUAGUCCACGCCGUAAACGAUGGGCGCUAGGUGUGGGCGGUGUCGACUCCGUCCGUGCCGAAGCUAACGCAUUAAGCGCCCCGCCUGGGGAGUACGGCCGCAAGGCUAAA
rnacentral:rRNA from 1 species